rnacentral:rRNA from 1 species
UACGGAGGGUGCAAGCGUUAUCCGGAAUCACUGGGUUUAAAGGGUGCGUAGGCGGUCUAAUAAGUCAGUCGUGAAAUCGCUGGGCUCAACCCAUGCAAUUGCGAUUGAUACUGUUAGACUUGAAUGGGGUUGAGGCUGGCGGAAUGCGACAUGUAGCGGUGAAAUGCUUAGAUAUGUCGCAGAACACCGAUUGCGAAAGCGGCGUGCUGGACCUCUUCUGACGCUGAGGCGCGAAAGCUAGGGGAGCAAAC